CGGAGGGUGCAAGCGUUAUCCGGAAUCAUUGGGUUUAAAGGGUCCGCAGGCGGUCUUAUAAGUCAGUGGUGAAAGCCUACAGCUUAACUGUAGAACUGCCAUUGAUACUGUAAGACUUGAAUUCGGUCGAAGUGGGCGGAAUGUGACAUGUAGCGGCGAAAUGCUUAGAUAUGUCACAGAACACCGAUAGCGAAGGCAGCUCACUAGGCCUGGAUUGACGCUCAUGGACGAAAGCGUGGGGAGCAAACAGGAUUAGAUACCCUGGUAGUCCACGCCGUAAACUAUGAUUACUCGUUUUCGGCGAUAUACAGUCGGAGACUAAGCGAAAGUGAUAAGUAAUCCACCUGGGGAGUACGAUCGCAAGGUUG
rnacentral:rRNA from 1 species